rnacentral:rRNA from 1 species
UACGAACCGAGCGAACGUUGUUCGGAAUAACUGGGCUUAAAGGGCGCGUAGGCGGCCCGCUAAGUCGAACGUGAAAUCCCCGAGCUCAACUCGGGAACUGCGUCCGAUACUGGGUGGCUUGAAUCCGGGAGAGGGAUGCGGAAUUCCAGGUGUAGCGGUGAAAUGCGUAGAUAUCUGGAGGAACACCGGUGGCGAAGGCGGCAUCCUGGACCGGUAUUGACGCUGAGGCGCGAAAGCCAGGGGAGCAAACGGG